CUACGGGAGGCUGCAGUGAGGAAUAUUGGUCAAUGGGCGCAAGCCUGAACCAGCCAAGUCGCGUGCAGGAAGACUGCCCUAUGGGUUGUAAACUGCUUUUGUAUGGGAGUAAAGUGCUCUACGUGUAGAGUUUUGCAAGUAUCAUACGAAUAAGGAUCGGCUAACUCCGUGCCAGCAGCCGCGGUAAUACGGAGGAUCCAAGCGUUAUCCGGAUUUAUUGGGUUUAAAGGGUGCGUAGGCGGGAUAUUAAGUCAGUGGUGAAAGUUUGCAGCUCAACUGUAAAAUUGCCAUUGAAACUGAUAUUCUUGAGUACAAAUGAGGUAGGCGGAAUGUGUUGUGUAGCGGUGAAAUGCAUAGAUAUAACACAGAACACCGAUUGCGAAGGCAGCUUACUGGGAUGUAACUGACGCUGAGGCACGAAAGCGUGGGGAUCAAACAGGAUUAGAUACCCCUGUAGUC
rnacentral:rRNA from 1 species